AACGAACGCUGGCGGCAUGCCUAACACAUGCAAGUCGAACGAGACCUUCGGGUUCCGUUGCGCACGGGUGCGUAACGCCUGGGAACCUGCCCUUAGGUUCGGAAUAACUCCCUGAAAGGGGCGCCAAUACCGCAUAAUGUCUUCGGACCAAAGAUUUAUCGCCCCUGGAUGGGCCCGCGUUUGAUUAGCUAGUUGGUAGGGUAAAAGCCUAUCAAGGCGACGAUCCAUAGCUGGUCUGAGAGGAUGAUCAGCCACACUGGGACUGAGACACGGCCCAGACUCCUACGGGAGGCAGCAGUGGGGAAUAUUGGACAAUGGGCGAAAGCCUGAUCCAGCAAUGCCGCGUGAGUGAUGAAGGCCUUAGGGUUGUAAAGCUCUUUUACCCGGGAUGAUAAUGACAGUACCGGGAGAAUAAGCUCCGGCUAACUCCGUG
rnacentral:rRNA from 1 species